GCCCGGUUAGCUCAAUCGGUAGAGCGUGAGACUCUUAAUCUCAAGGUUGCGGGUAAGUCACUUUCUCUCCCAUGAAAAUCGUCGAGUUUUCCUUGUACUAAAUCUUUCCGUCACAGGUUCGACCCCCGCAUCGGGCU